GUUAAUAACCAGAGAGGAAAAUGAGGACUACGUAUGUACGAAAAGGCGAUUUUGCGCGGCCGUCCAAUUUCGUUUUAAGUCCGCCAUUUGUACACUGUUGCAUUCUGUGCAGUAAACGUUAGAUAAAUAAAUCUACAGUUAUUUAGACAACAGUAUUCAUUUAAUUUUCCACUAAAUGAGAUAAAACUGAUCCUAGGUAUUACCAGUUGGAGUUAUUGCCACUUGGUGGUAUGGUAACAGUUCGUUGGGGUUUUUUUACGUUUUACUGCUGGAACAAUUGCAAAAAAAUCCAAUAGUUACCACCAAAGGAAGUAACCCGUAACUAAAACUGGGGUUAUUAAUGGGGUUGAUAGCGGUCAAGGUGAUAUUACAGAUGGCAACAAAUUUAACUGUCGCAUAAUGCUUGCUAGGCUUUGGAUGGAGCAGGUCAAAUCUAUUUUGAUUUAUGUCAAGUAGGUCUGACGGGAAUAAUCAAUGUAACUAAUUAAUAUAGCUAUUAAGUUAUUUUUACUAACCGUACAUGGAGUUUUGGACCUGAAAUAAAGAUUUCCAAAAACAGAAUGAUCAUAAUCAAGGCCAGCUUGAUUUUCCUCGUCGUAUGUGCAUUCGUAGUAAGCACGGAUGCAGACAAUACAGGGGAGCGCGUCCCAGACUGCGACAAUGUCUGUAGCAAAGGCCAGGCGGAGAGAGACCAUUGCUGCAGGGUCCAGGGAUAUGCGCUCUAUGCAAACUGCAUAGGAGGAAUGAGCUGUUAUCGAGAUUAUUAACAUACCUAAUCUCUAUAUUAUCAUAGAAAUGUGUAAUAAUAGGUCUACUGUUUGAUUGAGGCGGUUGGUAAGAAUUUAUUAUGGUUAGCUAGUUAGCUACGGCUACGGACUGGUUGAGGCUCGACUGCAUCAAACUGUUUUGUAUUAUGUUAAGUAAAUAAAGAUACAGUACAGACUAAUCCGGCACUAAUGCUUCGCAACCAACUGUCUGAGAUAAGUGGUAAACCUAUAAAACGACAUUCCGACUGUUUUCUUUCGCAAAAAUAAAUAAUUGAACUCAAUAA